CUGGGGCUGGGGCUCAGUGGCAAAGCACUUGCCUCACAUGUAUGAGGCCCUGGGUUCGAUCCUCAGACCACAUA
rnacentral:tRNA from 1 species